rnacentral:rRNA from 1 species
UACGUAGGGUGCAAGCGUUAUCCGGAAUGAUUGGGCGUAAAGCGUCCGCAGGUGGCUAUGUAAGUCUGCUGUUAAAGAGCAAGGCUCAACCUUGUAAAGGCAGUGGAAACUACAUGGCUAGAGUGCGUUCGGGGCAGAGGGAAUUCCUGGUGUAGCGGUGAAAUGCGUAGAGAUCAGGAAGAACACCGGUGGCGAAAGCGCUCUGCUAGGCCGCAACUGACACUGAGGGACGAAAGCUAGGGGAGCGAAUGGG